AGCGAACGCUGGCGGCAGGCCUAACACAUGCAAGUCGAACGAACUCUUCGGAGUUAGUGGCGGACGGGUGAGUAACACGUGGGAACGUGCCUUUUGGUUCGGAAUAACUCAGGGAAACUUGUGCUAAUACCGAAUGUGCCCUUCGGGGGAAAGAUUUAUCGCCAUUAGAGCGGCCCGCGUCUGAUUAGCUAGUUGGUGAGGUAACGGCUCACCAAGGCGACGAUCAGUAGCUGGUCUGAGAGGAUGACCAGCCACACUGGGACCGAGACACGGCCCAGACUCCUACGGGAGGCAGCAGUGGGGAAUCUUGAGCAAUGGGCGAAAGCCUGACGCAGCCAUGCCGCGUGAAUGAUGAAGGUCUUAGGAUUGUAAAAUUCUUUCACCGGGGACGAUAAUGACGGUACCCGGAGAAGAAGCCCCGGCUAACUUCGUG
rnacentral:rRNA from 1 species